rnacentral:rRNA from 1 species
AUUGAACGCUGGCGGCAUGCUUUACACAUGCAAGUCGGACGGCAGCACAGAGCAGCUUGCUUCUUGGGUGGCGAGUGGCGAACGGGUGAGUAAUAUAUCGGAACGUACCGAGUAAUGGGGGAUAACUAAUCGAAAGAUUAGCUAAUACCGCAUAUUCUCUGAGGAGGAAAGCAGGGGACCUUCGGGCCUUGCGUUAUUCGAGCGGCCGAUAUCUGAUUAGCUAGUUGGUGGGGUAAAGGCCUACCAAGGCGACGAUCAGUAGCGGGUCUGAGAGGAUGAUCCGCCACACUGGGACUGAGACACGGCCCAGACUCCUACGGGAGGCAGCAGUGGGGAAUUUUGGACAAUGGGCGCAAGCCUGAUCCAGCCAUGCCGCGUGUCUGAAGAAGGCCUUCGGGUUGUAAAGGACUUUUGUCAGGGAAGAAAAGGCUGUUGCUAAUACCGACAGCUGAUGACGGUACCUGAAGAAUAAGCACCGGCUAACUACGUG